AUUCGGCACCUUACAAAAAAGUCUGUGGAUGGAGCUGAGGGAAAACUUUUAAAUGGUCCUUUUCAUGGAACCUACCAAGGGAUAAAGGGUACUUUGGGUCAAAGGUCAUAUGGUUUUGAUGAUGGUGAUUUGGGCAGAAAAUAUAUUCAGACACAGAUGGUUGGCCUGGAUAAUGGACAUUAUUCAUACGCAUCCAGGUAUGCAUCCAAAGGU
rnacentral:misc_RNA from 1 species